rnacentral:rRNA from 1 species
UACGUAGGGUCGACACGUUGUCCGGAAUUAUUGGGCGUAAAGAGCUCGUAGGCGGUUUGUCGCGUCUGCCGUGAAAGUCCGGGGCUCAACUCCGGAUCUGCGGUGGGUACGGGCAGACUAGAGUGAUGUAGGGGAGACUGGAAUUCCUGGUGUAGCGGUGAAAUGCGCAGAUAUCAGGAGGAAUACCGAUGGCGAAGGCAGGUCUCUGGGCUGACACUGACGCUCAUGCACGAAAGCGUGGGGAGCAAACAGG